AGGUUAAAAUAAUUAAGGGCACACAAAGGAUGCCUAGGUAGUAAGAGCCGAUGAAGGACGUGGUAAGCUGCGAUAAGCCUAGAUAAGUUGCAAUCGAACGUAAGAAUCUAGGAUUUCCGAAUGGAGCAAUCUAUUAAGAUGGAGUCUUAAUACGAAAGAGGGAACCGCGUGAACUGAAACAUCUAAGUAACGCGAGGAAAAGAAAGUAAAAACGAUACCCAAAGUAGCGGCGAGCGAACUGGGUCAAGCCUAAACCUUAAAUAUGUCAAGGAUACAGCCGUUGUAUUUAAGGGGUUGAGGGACAGAGUUGUGAAGAACUGUAAGAUAUUCAAUAUAGUGUAUUGAUGAAUUAGAAUUGUCUGGAAAGAUAAACCGUAGAAGGUGAAAGUCCUGUAUAAGUAAAUCCUUACACAUAUAACUUUGCUCCCAAGUAACAUGGAACACGAGGAAUUCUGUGUGAAUCUGUGAGGACCAUAUCUCAUAAGGCUAAAUACUCUUACUAACCGAUAGCGCAUAGUACCGUGAGGGAAAGGUGAAAAGAACCCCUGGAGGGGAGUGAAAUAGAACCUGAAAUUGUGUGCUUACAAGCGGUCAGAGCCCAUUAGGGUGAUGGCGUGCCUUUUGGAGAAUGAUCCUGCGAGUUACGUUAAACGGCGAGGUUAAGUAUAACGGAGCCGAAGGGAAACCAAGUCUUAAUAGGGCGAUAUAGUCGUUUGGCGUAGACGCGAAACCUGGUGAUCUAAACCUGUCCAGGAUGAAGCUGUGGUAAGACACAGUGGAGGUCCUAACCCACCGCCGUUGAAAAGUUGGGGGAUGAGGUAGGUUUAGGGGUGAAAAGCCAAUCGAACCAGGAGAUAGCUCGUUCUCUCCGAAAUGCAUCUAGGUGCAGCCUUGAGUGUUCAAUUAUGGGGGUAGAGCACUGAAUGAUCUAGGGGGCAUAUUGCUUACUGAAAUCAAUCAAACUCCGAAUACCAUAAUUUAUAGCUCAGGAGUGAGACUAUGGGAGUUAACUUCCAUUGUCAAAAGGGAAACAACCCAGACCACCAGCUAAGGUCCCUAAUUAUAACUAAGUGGGAAAGGAGGUGGAGAUUCACAAACAACUAGGAGGUUGGCUUAGAAGCAGCCAUACCUUUAAAGAGUGCGUAAUAGCUCACUAGUCGAGAGUCUCUGCGCCGACAAUGUAACGGGGCUAAGUUAUAAACCGAAGCUGUGGAAUCCAUUUGGAUUGGUAGGAGAGCGUUCUGUAGGCCGUUGAAGAAGAAGGGUAACCAACUUUGGAGGUAUCAGAAGUGAGAAUGCAGGAAUAAGUAGCGAGAAAGGGGGCGAGAAUCCCCCUCGCCGGAAGACCAAGGUUUUCAGGGUAAAGCUUGUCUUCCCUGAGUAAGCCGGGACCUAAGCCCAGGCUAUAAUGCGUAGGCGAAUGGAAAACAGAUUAAUAUUUCUGUGCCAGUCAUUUAUUGUGAUGGAGGUACGCAGAAGGGUAUGCACGCGGACGAUCGGUUGUGUCCGUAGAAGUAUGUAAGAUGACUUAGUAGGUAAAUCCAUUAAGUUAUAUCUGAGGUAUGAUAUACAGUCGUAAGAUGAAUGUGCAAAUCCCACGCUGCCAAGAAAAGCUUCUAACGUUAAUAUAUGACUGCCCGUACUGUAAACCGACACAGGUGGUCAGGAUGAGAAAUCUAAGGCGGACAGGCUAACUCUCGUUAAGGAACUCUGCAAAAUAACCUCGUAACUUCGGGAGAAGAGGAGCCCUUGUGUGU
rnacentral:rRNA from 1 species